GAUCCUGGCUCAGGAUGAACGCUAGCGGCAGGCUUAACACAUGCAAGUCGAGGGGCAGCAUAAUGGAUAGCAAUAUCUAUGGUGGCGACCGGCGCACUGGUGCGUAACGCGUAUGCAACCUACCUUUAACAGGUGGAUAACACUGAGAAAUUGGUACUAAUACCCCAUAAUAUCAUAGAAGGCAUCUUUUAUGGUUGAAAAUUCCGAUGGUUAGAGAUGGGCAUGCGUUG
rnacentral:rRNA from 1 species